AACGAACGCUGGCGGCGCGUCUUAAACAUGCAAGUCGAACGGCAGGAAGGGGCUUGCUUCUGAGAGUGGCGGACUGGUGAGUAACACGUGGGUGACAUACCUUUUAGUUGGGGAUAGCUAUUAGAAAUAGUAGGUAAUACCGAAUGUGACCGUACCUGUUAGAGGGGUACGAGGAAAGGAGCUAAGGCUUCGCUAAAAGAAUGGCUCGCGGCCCAUUAUGCUCGUUGGUGAGGUAACGGCCCACCAAGGCGAUGAUGGGUAUCCGGCCUGAGAGGGUGAACGGACACAUUGGGACUGAGAUACGGCCCAGACUUCUACGGGAGGCAGCAGUUAAGAAUAUUCCGCAAUGGACGAAAGUCUGACGGAGCGACGCCGCGUGGAUGAAGAAUGCCGAAAGGUUGUAAAAUCCUUUUAAGCCUGAUGAAUAAGCACAAUAGGGAAUGAUUGUGCGGUGACCGUAGGGCUUGAAUAAGCACCGGCUAAUUACGUGC
rnacentral:rRNA from 1 species